rnacentral:rRNA from 1 species
UACGAAGGGGCUAGCGUUGCUCGGAUUGACUGGGCGUAAAGGCGCGUAGGCGGUUCGUACAGUCAGACGUGAAAUUCCUGGCUCAACCUGGGGCUGCGUUUGAUACGUGCGGGCUUGAGUGCGGAAGAGGGUCGUGGAAUUCCCAGUGUAGAGGUGAAAUUCGUAGAUAUUGGGAAGAACACCGGUGGCGAAGGCGGCGACCUGGUCCGAUACUGACGCUGAGGCGCGAAAGCGUGGGGAGCAAACAGG